AGCUGCGGCUGCUAACAGAGGUGGCUGUUGGGAGAGAGACAGAGGGAGGCAACGCCGCCUGGUCCCGCCCUCGCAUUUUCCUGCUUAACUCAACCUGGAGUGUUGGCACCUGUUUCCUCCCUGCGUUCUCCUUGUACUAUACAGGGAAGUCAGUCACUCCGGACUCUCUGGACGUCCAGGCUGGGUGGAAUAAGGGGUCUGGGUGGAACAGGGGGCUCUGCCCUCUACGGUGACUUUCUAAAAGGUACCACUAAUGUUUUUUGACAGUGCAGCGCCCUAGGGUGGGCGGCGGAGAGGAGGCUUCGGUUACUAAACCGCUUAAUUCUUUUUGUUCUGGUGAUCGGAUUUGUUUCCCCGGCCUCCUCCCCUGCCCCAUCUCCCUCCCCUCCUUUAGCGAACUGACACAGGCAGCCCCUGCUCGCUUGUGUUCGAUGUUGGAACACGCACCUUCUCGGCGGUGACUGUGCCCAGCGUACUGGGGACAAGGGGACAGCGGCGGUUUCCCUUCCUCCCAGCCGACGAUGCCCAGGGGCAGCGGUUGAGCUGCGUGGGGCUCGGCCCGCAGCACUUCGAGGCGGGAUUGAGGGUCUGCAGCUGGUUAGGAGUUGCUGUUAAUUGGACUUGGCGCCAAGUCUCCGAGAGGGCAUCAGCUGGGACCUAUCUGCUAAAAGCGGGAACAGGGGCGCCUGACGGAGGAACUCCAGCGUCUCGCGGGCGGAAGACUGCCGAGCUCAGAGCCUCUCCUCCUUCCUGCCCCGAAGCUCCCCAGCAACUCGCGCACAACGGAGACCCGGGACCUACGAGAGGCAGGAAACUGGAGAAGUACGUGGCGGAGGCUGCUUUUCUGAAGGUGAACUGUUCCGUCCAAUUGCCUUUCCCCAGAGAGCAAAAAGGGAGGGAGGGGGAAAAAGAACCGAGUAUGCGUGAGUGUGUGUAUGUGUGAGAGGCAGAGACGACGUGUGGCAGGAGGAAAAGUCUUUACUCGGCGUUCAAAGCAAACAAAUCAGAGAUGGAGUAAGAGCGGUAACUGCUGCAAGACCGCCUUGAUUCUCGCAUUGUGAGGAGCUGAGCGCACCGCGCGCAUCCGGCGAGGACCGCUGGCGACCGUGGGCGCUGGCGAGGGCUGCGGGACUUCGGCGUUUCCCCAGUAAACAAAUCUUUUGAUUACUUUGACUUGUGAAAAACGAGAGGAGGAAAGAAACGAGGCUCCCGCACGCCACCUUCCACCCACUUUAAGGGGAUUCCAGUUUGGAUGUCUAGAGAUUCCUGAACCCUCUUUGCUCUCGGAGGAGGAAACACACGCGCGCGCGCACACACACGCACGCUUGGGGCCACACUCACACGCCCUCCACGAGCACACACCACCAGACUUCGGUUCCCUAUGCCCCAGAACGGUGACAGCGGAUUGGCAUCUUGGAAGCGAUGCAAGAGCGAUAAGGCUGGCGCGGGCCCGCGGAAGCUGCAGGAGCAUCGCUAGGUGUUGCCGCCACCAGGAAGCCGGGCUGCAGAAGAACCUUAUUGCUUCAUGGAGAAAUGAUAAACAUGAACAGGAGAUGGGAUGAAGUGACACUCUAUAGUUUUGCUUUGGGAUGAGUAAGAGAUACUUACAGAAAGCAACAAAAGGAAAACUGCUAAUAAUAAUAUUUAUUGUAACCUUGUGGGGGAAAGUUGUGUCCAGUGCAAACCAUCAUAAAGCUCACCAUGUUAAAACGGGCACUUGCGAGGUGGUGGCACUCCACAGAUGUUGUAAUAAGAACAAGAUAGAAGAACGGUCACAAACAGUCAAGUGCUCCUGCUUCCCUGGGCAGGUGGCAGGUACCACACGAGCUGCUCCCUCUUGUGUGGAUGCUUCAAUAGUGGAACAGAAAUGGUGGUGCCAUAUGCAACCAUGUCUUGAGGGAGAAGAAUGUAAAGUUCUUCCAGAUCGGAAAGGAUGGAGCUGUUCCUCCGGGAAUAAAGUGAAAACAACUAGGGUCCAGACUUUUCCCCGGACUCCCUCCCGGCUAGCCGUGGCGCACUAACCCCUUGCAGGCUGUGUUCAUGCCGCCAACCCCAGUCCUCUCCCGGAGCUCCGACCGAAGCCCGAGCCUCAACUCCCAGCCCCGCCCGCCCCGGCGGGUGAGCAGACAAGCCGCUCGGACUGGUAACCCAUUAACAAAGGAUAAAUCAAGUGAUCCUCAAGGCUGAUUACACUGAACAUCAGCAUAGAAACAUAACUCAUGAGGUGAUCUUGAAGGAAAAUUUUUAUACAGCUCACAAGAGGCACUCUGGAGUCUGCUAUUUCCAGGGGAUUUCAUGGCUUGUAAUCAGCUUCUUCUUGGAAUCAAGACUUUUUAAAAGUCCGACAUGAACUUCUAUAUCAUGAAGAUUUCAUCAGAUUUGAACUGUGUUCAACUUGUAUAAUUGCACUUGCAAAAAGGAUUUGAAGUUACUGUCUGAAGAGUUGGCGUUGCCGGAUGGUGUCAGAGACACUUACCUUUUGGGCUCUUGGCUCCAAAUGUGACUGCUUUUCUUGUUUCUGAGUCUCCCAAGUGCACUGGCCUUCUGUCAUGGACCUGUUCCUGAGUCCUGUGUUCAGUGGCUAGGACUGCACAUGGCUUCAGUGACUUUUCCUUUGCGAACUUCUCCUCUGGCAUGGUGUAGACUGAGACAAUUUAUUUGUAUCCUAAUCUUGAAGCUCUGAAAGCCUACAUGUUUUAACAUCUUAAAGUUGCUUUUGUUAAAGGAAUGGAAAUAUAUAUCCAUUGAUAAUAAUUAUUGUUGGCAAGUAAAGUUAUCUGAAUACAUCAAUCAUAUAAGAAUGUAUAGACAAGCUGACAUGUUUCCCCAAGGCUAACACACUGCUGCAGCUCUCUGUCAGUAAAAUAGGUAGUAGUUAGAACUGAAUUACCAUUUUCAUUAUAUACUCCUGUUUGGUACCUCUAGAGUACUCUCCCUUUCAGUUUUUUUUGUUUUUUUUUUUUUAAGUGGGCUUUUUCUUUCAUUUUUAUCUUUACUUUUUCCCUUCACAGAAAUUAGCAGUGAGCAGUCAAGUAUUUAGGUAACCUUCAGUUUCAAAAAAUUGCCAAGGAUGCACGUGGGUUUUGAUUUCUUAGCUUGAAAGUUAUUCACUUAGAUUUCUUCUAGUAUUUUUUUAAACUGUCCUUUCUAUCUCAUUCUAAAAAGGCUGUCUCUUGUUCUAUCCCAAUGACUGUUUGAAUGCCUAUCUAUUUGUUUAUUCAGUCUGUUGGUAGAAUAAAUUGUAGAAAAAUUCUUUUCCUUGGUCUAAAUUUUAUAAAUAUUUGCUUACAGUUGUCCCGUUCAAACAAUUUCUUUAGUCAGUCUUUGUCCACGUUUUCGUAGUACUUUUAACAUUUGUGGUUUUCAGUUCUACAGGAAAAUCUUAUAAAUAUUUCAAGGCCUUAAACAUGUAUGUACUUGUUUUUCUAAGUUACUCGCAGAAUGUAUAAUUUUAUACUACAUCUGCUUUGUUUCAUUUGUGAUGCGGAGGGAGAGAAGAAUGGAAAUUGCAUAGCCAUUCUGGAUAUUGUAUAAAGGUAUAGUUUGAAAGAAUGUAAAGGGGGAGGAGCUUCUAUGUUUUACUCAUCUUAGACUAAUAGGAAGAUACUUCAGAAAUUGUCCUAUUAGAAGUUCCAUUAUGUUAGAGAAGGUGUGGACAUCUUUUGUUUUUUAAAACUCACUGACAUGGCCAAUUAGGUAUAUGUUGACUUCCAUGAUGGAGGCUGACAUACAGACCAAAGCUCUCCAGGCUAAAUUGAUAACAACUUUCAAAGACCAAGACAUUACCCAGAAUCUUUUCUCGGCAGAAUGACUAAAAGUGUAAAAUUUGUUAAUUAAAUUUGUAAAGUAUGCUUUUGAUAUUGAACUAAAGUAAACUAUACUACCCCGUAAGUCCAUGGAAUGGAAUGACUUUCUCCUUCCAUUUUAAUUAUGCAUAUACAACUAGAUGGCUCUGAGUGAAUUUUGCAAUGGUUCAAGACUGUCUCAACUCAUAAAGAAAGGAGUAACAGUUGUGCUGGAGUUUCUGCAUCAGUAAUAAUAUCAUUAAUUUCUUUGGAACAAAGUGGAAAACUAUAUUAUUUUGGAAAUAAUGAAUUUGUCCUAGGUUUGAAAUUAUAAAUCAUGCCUCUCAUUUUUUAAACUAUGUCCCUUAAAACAACACUGGAAAUUCUGUAUUAUAUUCAAGUGUAAUACAUGCAUAUCAAUAGAAAAAAAUAAAUGGAAUUUCAAAUAUAUUAACUAGAUUAUCCCCAGUAGAUUAAUGUUGUGACUCUUCAGAAAAGGCGAAUAAAAUUGGAAUA